UGACGAUAUAAGAAUAAGGGCUGAUGAAAUAAUCAGCUGGGCGUUUAAAAAGGGAGCACUUCAUCACCCAGCAUGUGGUGAAGUUGUGCAAGUCAGGGCCACGGGAUAUUAUGGAGACCAAAAUAAUAAAUGGGUUCAAAAGCUGAUGGGGCAGUUUGGCAGGGGAUAAGGUCAUCAGUUUCUGUUCAAAAUUAUAUUGGGGAUGAAACCCCAGAAGUUACUAUGUCACCAGGAGCAGGGGAGGGUCACUCAGUGCCUGCAUUACUUCUCAUAUGCUUGAGUGUUUCCUUCUGACCACACUCAGGAAAUAAAGCCAGGCUUUUCCACAUCUUCCAUCACCAUCUCACGUGGGAGACCUAAAGGUUCCAGUGUUUGUGCCUCACAGCUCCUCAAAAUGUCAGAGAAACAGACAAAUCUCCAUUUACAAGGGGGAUCUCUCCCCUAGGGAGGGUCUACUGGGAUGGGAAAGGCCCUGAGGGACUGACAGCCACCUUCUUCCUCCCUACACUCUGGAGAAAUGGCCAUGCAGCACCUUGCCAUGCCAGCCCUUCUCCCAGCAGCCCUUCCAGAACUUGCUGCCUCUGGGCUGCAUCCAGUCCUCAUGACUAAGGCACAGUGAGAGAGGAAAAUAAAACCCCUCAGUGCAGCAAAGCCUUCAAGUCCUUAGUAAACACUGAAGUGAAGCCUGCGUGGCUUGGUCAAAAUCCAGCAGCACAUCUGUGGAAGAGGUGGGAGCUGGAUCCAGCCCUUUUCUGACUUGGAUAGUAACCUGUAAUUACAGUUGUCAGACUGUAAGACACCUAAUAUAUCCUUCUUAAGUAUUCUUUUUUC